CAGAAGCCUGCCUACUCCCCAGUAUCUUCCCCACUGGUUAUUAUUAUUCAAUGCAGGAAGAAGAGACCACUCACCUGUAAUUUCAACAGCAACAAAAGACCUGAGGUUCCACCAUCAGAACUUCACGCCCUAAGGAAGAUGCAGCAUUUCCUGUAAAAUGCAAGUGCUCCCAGGCAGAGGUAGCUCCCGAAGCCAUGAUCAGUUAUGUAUACCUUAGUGGCAGCUGAUUAACAGACUCUUCCCCAGAGCCAGCUGACAGGAAGCACAUCGGGGUAAAAGGGAAGAUGAAAACUUGGGUGCCUGGAGGAAGGGAACAAAUGCGAGCAGGAGCAUGGUAAUAACAUAGAGCCAGAAUUGAUUUCGUGGCUUUCUUUCUCCUCUUCUGGGAUUUUGUGCCCUAUUGCCACAGAAACCCUGCUGUGGUGUUGCUGUCCUCAUAUGACCCUUCAGUCCCCCGACAGCUGGACAGGCUUUAGGGACCUGCUUGAGCAGAACAUGGUAGAAGUGAUGGACUGGGGCUUCUGAGGCUAAGCCAUAAGAAGCCUUGAGAAUUUCACCUGGCCCUCACUGUCUCUGGGAGCCCUGAGCCAUGAUAGAAGAAGUCCUUCCUAUAUUGAAUGUCCUUGAGACCUCCAGUACUGGAAAGGGCAUUUGUAGAUGCUCAGACCAACAGUCCAAACUGAGCCCAGUCUGCCAACUUGCCCUGCCAAGGUGUCAGAUGCAUAUGUGAAUGAGACCAUCCUAGACCUGCUGAUAGCCCAUCACCCGGCUGACUGCUACUGAGUAACCUCUGCCAACUUCACGCCGAACACAGAACUGCUGAUUUGAACUCUGCCUGAAUUUCUUGGCCCACAGAACAAUGAGAUAUAAUUAAAAGGCAAUGGUU
rnacentral:lncRNA from 1 species